rnacentral:rRNA from 1 species
AUCCAAGAGAAUUUAGCAGAGAUGCUUUAGUGCCUUCGGGAACUCUGAGACAGGUGCUGCAUGGCUGUCGUCAGCUCGUGUUGUGAAAUGUUGGGUUAAGUCCCGNAACGAGCGCAACCCUUAUCCUUUGUUGCCAGCACGUAAUGGUGGGAACUCAAAGGAGACUGCCGGUGAUAAACCGGAGGAAGGUGGGGAUGACGUCAAGUCAUCAUGGCCCUUACGAGUAGGGCUACACACGUGCUACAAUGGCGCAUACAAAGAGAAGCGACCUCGCGAGAGCAAGCGGACCUCAUAAAGUGCGUCGUAGUCCGGAUUGGAGUCUGCAACUCGACUCCAUGAAGUCGGAAUCGCUAGUAAUCGUAAAUCAGAAUGUUACGGUGAAUACGUUCCCGGGCCUUGUACACACCGCCCGUCACACCAUGGGAGUGGGUUGCAAAAGAAGUAGAUAGCUUAACCUUCGGGAGGGCGUUUACCACUUUGUGAUUCAUGACUGGGGUGAAGUCGUAACAAGGUAAGCGUAGUGCU